rnacentral:rRNA from 1 species
AUGAACGCUAGCUACAGGCUUAACACAUGCAAGUCGAGGGGCAUCAGGAAGAAAGCUUGCUUUCUUUGCUGGCGACCGGCGCACGGGUGAGUAACACGUAUCCAACCUGCCCUUUACUCGGGGAUAGCCUUUCGAAAGAAAGAUUAAUACCCGAUAGCAUAAUGAUUCCGCAUGGUUUCAUUAUUAAAGGAUUCCGGUAAAGGAUGGGGAUGCGUUCCAUUAGGUUGUUGGUGAGGUAACGGCUCACCAAGCCUUCGAUGGAUAGGGGUUCUGAGAGGAAGGUCCCCCACAUUGGAACUGAGACACGGUCCAAACUCCUACGGGAGGCAGCAGUGAGGAAUAUUGGUCAAUGGGCGCUAGCCUGAACCAGCCAAGUAGCGUGAAGGAUGAAGGCUCUAUGGGUCGUAAACUUCUUUUAUAUAAGAAUAAAGUGCAGUAUGUAUACUGUUUUGUAUGUAUUAUAUGAAUAAGGAUCGGCUAACUCCGUGCCAGCAGCCGCGGUAAUACGGAGGAUCCGAGCGUUAUCCGGAUUUAUUGGGUUUAAAGGGAGCGUAGGUGGACUGGUAAGUCAGUUGUGAAAGUUUGCGGCUCAACCGUAAAAUUGCAGUUGAUACUGUCAGUCUUGAGUACAGUAGAGGUGGGCGGAAUUCGUGGUGUAGCGGUGAAAUGCUUAGAUAUCACGAAGAACUCCGAUUGCGAAGGCAGCUCACUGGACUGCAACUGACACUGAUGCUCGAAAGUGUGGGUAUCAAACAGGAUUAGAUACCCUGGUAGUCCACACAGUAAACGAUGAAUACUCGCUGUUUGCGAUAUACAGUAAGCGGCCAAGCGAAAGCAUUAAGUAUUCCACCUGGGGAGUACGCCGGCAACGGUGAAACUCAAAGGAAUUGACGGGGGCCCGCACAAGCGGAGGAACAUGUGGUUUAAUUCGAUGAUACGCGAGGAACCUUACCCGGGCUUAAAUUGCAGUGGAAUGAUGUGGAAACAUGUCAGUGAGCAAUCACCGCUGUGAAGGUGCUGCAUGGUUGUCGUCAGCUCGUGCCGUGAGGUGUCGGCUUAAGUGCCAUAACGAGCGCAACCCUUAUCUUUAGUUACUAACAGGUCAUGCUGAGGACUCUAGAGAGACUGCCGUCGUAAGAUGUGAGGGAGGUGGGGAUGACGUCAAAUCAGCACGGCCCUUACGUCCGGGGCUACACACGUGUUACAAUGGGGGGUACAGAAGGCAGCUAGCGGGUGACCGUAUGCUAAUCCCAAAAUCCUCUCUCAGUUCGGAUCGAAGUCUGCAACCCGACUUCGUGAAGCUGGAUUCGCUAGUAAUCGCGCAUCAGCCACGGCGCGGUGAAUACGUUCCCGGGCCUUGUACACACCGCCCGUCAAGCCAUGGGAGCCGGGGGUACCUGAAGUACGUAACCGCAAGGAUCGUCCUAGGGUAAAACUGGUGACUGGGGCU